CUUCAAUAUAAAUGUGUAAAAUAUUGGUAGACAUAUGAAUAAAAUAAUGUGUAAAUAUUUGAUAUAACUCAUUUACUCAAAUAAUAACAUGAUUAUAUUUUCCAUUAUAAAUUAAUUCAUGUCAGUUAAGGUUAAGAUUCUUUACUCAUUUACUCAAAUAACAACAUGAUUAUAUUUUCCAUUAUAAAUUAAUUUGUAGGUUUUUGUCAUUAAAAUUCAAAUUUGGACAUGAUUAUCUUCUUUUUGUUUUUUAAGAAUAAGUAGAUACAUAAUGUUUCAUUUAUCAAAUUUAUAUAAAUUUAGAACUUCAAUAGCAUAAAUGUGUAAAAUAUUGGUAGACAUAUGUAUAAAAUAAUGUGUAAAUAUUUUAUAUAAAUUUGGUUAAAUUUGUAGAUAGUAAUCAAGUUAUUGGAUAUCCCGUUUAUUUUAUGUGAUGGAUUAGAGUCUCAAUGUUUUGAAACAAUCGUUAGAUAGGUCAUGUUUGAGUCGAUUUAAAUUUGACACGAUACAAAGCUGACACAAUACGAACACGAUCAUAUGACCCAUUUUACCAACUAUGUAAGAAAGCAUUAACUUCAUUGCUAAAUUCAAGUUUGUUUCUUUUUUUCCGUAAUUUAUAACUUAUUAAUUACCUGAAAUUAAUAACAUAAAUUUGUUGUCGUGCAAUAAUGGCACAAGCUGCCUUAUCACCCGGGACAAUCAAUUUGUCUAUUCUAAUGCUUUAACAACCGUAGUACCAUAAUUUCACAUUAUCAACUUAAAUUCCACAGAUACGUGUGUCGAUUCCAGACUUGGAAAUUUUGGUGGGUGCACAAUCCAUCAAAUUAAUGAUGGACUUUGAUGCCUGAGGUUGAGGAGAAAAUUAAAUCUAAUUAAUUUGAAAUGUUUGUUGCACAAUAAUAAUAACUCGUUUGGCGCUGCAGGGCUUAAAAAGGGUGAGCAAAAAUUUUAAUCCAAAGUAAAUUAUUUUCUGGUUCAGUUC
rnacentral:lncRNA from 1 species